ensembl:lncRNA
CCGUCAGGCACCCGGAAGGUUUAGCGCCCUGACUUCUUGCUGGGAAGGCAAAGCCGUGCGUUCGGCACGAACGCGCUGGGACACCCCACGGAAAGCCACCGGCGUGGCCGAUACUCGGCUGCGGUUCCAAAUGGUAUCUGAACUUGGUACUCACAUGACAGUAAACCAGAAGAUUGUGUAUAGUAACAUCAUAGGAUUUUCAUAAUUUGUUCUUAUGGAAGACCUAUCUCUGAAAAAGCUCAAGUAUUUUUUGAAGCACUUUUGUUCUUCAGAGUCAUCUCUUCACAUUAUUUUGCCCCGGCACUAGAAGAGGGGUGUUGUGCAGAGAAGCGCAUGUGGCAGCCGUGUGGCAGUCCCCAAGAGCAGCGCGGUGCGGGACGCGCACCCCGGCUGAGUGCGCUGCACCAGGAGCCAGCAUCCUGUCCACAGCACUCCUCGCCUGCGUGCACGGCCGCUGCCCGCUCCAGCACGACAGGCUAACAGCCACAUGAUUUGGCGCCUUAACUGUGCGCAGAACUGAUCCUGGUGUAUUGUGUUGGGUGGGAAUUUUUUUGGCUGUUAGGGUUUGUUGGUUGCUUUCUUGCUUGCUUGACUGGUAUUUUCCCAGAGUAUGCUGUUUAGGGAAUUGUAUUGUCUUUCACAAAGUCUCAGUUGAUCCUUCAAUCGUGCUUGUGGAAAACGUCUAGUAGGCACAGUGUGAUCCAGACCACCACUUCUGUGGGAAUAAGCUGCUGUAUCACCUGCAUGAGCCAGUUGUUUCUCUAUUGUUCUGCACAAGUCUGCUGGAACAGGAUCAUAAAUUUCAACCCAAAACAAAAACCCAAAACAAAGCAAAAAAUCUCACCACGCUUGACCUAGCCACAUGACACAAAUUACAUUAAUAAAUUGGUAGAGUAUGAGCUGAUACUACAGUAAUAUGGCCAAUCACUGAAAAGGAAUACUUAAGUCUUCAGUAUUGGCACCAGCUGUUUCUCUGAUUAUUUUUAUUAGUUAUAUAGGUUAAAAUCUCCCAAACGUUUCAGCAAAACCUGUGAUUAAGUGUUCAGCCUAGGAUAUACUAUGGGGGAUAUUAGUCUUCCACCUCUGUGACAUGAAUUAUAAAUUAAUAUUUUGGCAUCAUAUAAAUACUAUUGUUUCUGUCAAAAUACCUUUUAUGUGUAUUUAUUAUGUUCAUCACAUUCAAGCACAUUUGUCUUUCAGUUUAUUGAAUAUUUAACAAGGUGGCUUUUACUCUUCAUGGGUUUCUUAUUUUUGUGCAAGUCCAAAGUAAGUUAUUCAUAUAUAUAAUCACACCUAUUUAUUAACCUAGAGAGACUUUGUAUAAUGUCUAGUUCAUUUGCCAUCAGUAGGACUUCUCAUGCUCUGCUAGGUUAAUGGUAUUGUAUGUUUGAAUUAUUUAUCUAAAACCUCAAACAUUCUAUUCUAGCUUUUAUUCUUACCCUACAGUCUAUUCUUGAAUAUAUGCUUCCUAAUUCUGAUUUCAUAUAAGUUUCAUAGCAUAGUAACUCCAUCAUUUUCAAUGGAAUUGCACUGUUUUUCAUUAUCAUACAUAGUAGUGUCAGAUCAUGAGCUUCCUUUAAGAUAUUUAACAUAAGCAUUGUAAUUGUGUGACUCCUCCAGUUUGUUCAGUAGCUAUUUCAGAAACAGUCUAACCAUUAGAAAGCAUAAACUGAUAGGCCCUCAUUCCCAUUUUAGUUCUCACUGUCACAGGACAGAGGCAAGAGGUACACAUCACCCAGACAGAGGUAGUUCUUUUGGUAUUUCAUGGAAAAGUAUUAUUUGUAAAUCUUUCCAUCAUCCAAAGAUUGCAUUAGCAGAGGUUAUUUUCUUGCAAUCCAAGAAAAUAAUGUCACUAGAAGGACCACAGACAACUAUCUCAUUGCCCAUAAUUUUAAAAUGGAAGACUGAUCCAAAAUCAAAGCAUUCUUCAAUGCUUUCUACAAUCUUGCACCAAAGUUUAGUAUGUAAAGUGAAAAAUUGUUUUUCUAGUGAAGAUGAACAGAAAAUAAAUAUCCACUUGCAUGUAAUAGUAGUUCAUAAAACUAUUUUUUCAAUAUGCAAUUUAUAUACAAAUUAAAUGCAAGAAUUUAGAAGGUUUAGGAAUGAAUUCUGUACUUUAUAUGUGCUUCAUGUCUUGUAUUAAUAGGAACAUCAAUGUAUUUUGCACAUUACUACCAAAUCUUCUAAUAAAAAUCAUAAGCAAAUGUGUGAGGGAUAAGUGACAUAAGAAUAAAAGUUAUGACUUAGUCAAUUGUGUUUUCAGAUGAGCAAUUAAAUUAUUUUUAUUGAUAUAUAUAAUUUAAAAACAUUAUAGCAGAAGCCCAUCAUGAGACUGUUUCAAGUAUUUAUGGUUUUAAAGUGAAUGCAGAGAAGGAUCUUAAGACAGCAGGUGAUCAGUGUUUUCCUCUAAGUGGAAGUACAGUAAUAAGGGAAGUAUCUUUCUUUCUCUGUAUGAAAAUCUAUUGGAAAAAAAUGGUCCUCAUUAAGUCUUAUGUAAAGCCAUCACAAAUACUGACUAAAGUAGUAUUUCCACAGAAGUAUUUAAAGUAGUGGAGAAAACUGAGUUGGAAGAUAGCAAAAUAAUUGGCUUCCAUUUAAUACUUAAGGAAAUAUUGAGCAGGAAUCAAGGCACUCGAUUUACGUACUGAAGUAAAAAUGUGGGUUGUAAGCCUCAUUUUAUAACUAUAAUUACAGUUGCAUAACUUCAGUUAUACUUAUAACCUCAGUUUAUGUAACUAUAACCCCAGAUAGCCAGAUAGUAUGUUUCUUCAAUCAGUAUGGGAUGAUUUGUGAACUUGAAUUUGGGCAGAAAUAGGAAAAACUCUUAUGCCUGAGAUGGACAGCUAAUAGUAGCAGUGCAGUGAUUGCUGUUAUUAGUCAAAUUACCCCGCAGUUAACACUGCAGUUAGAUAGUGCUCUAUACUCUUAAGGAAGAAUCUAUUAUAAUAUUUAAGGGAAUUACGGAAAUUCAUUAGUAGGGAAAAGGAUAGCAUUUGUUUCAUUUGUACGAAGUGACAGAGAAAAGAGACUUUUCAACACUUAGAAAAUUCUGGUUUGGACAUAUAUAGAGAAUUGGAAUAUACAAAUUUGGACAAAAUGCAUGUGUUAUCCUGGUAUGGGUAUAAUUGCGAGGCAGGCUGUAAGUGUACUAUAUUUCUAUGGAACUGCUUUCUAAUCUGGUUGUAUUUUGAAUUGUGGAUUUGCAUUGCCUUACAGGGAACCUAAAUAAAAAUCCUCUCCAA